rnacentral:rRNA from 1 species
UACGGAGGGUGCAAGCGUUAUCCGGAUUCACUGGGUUUAAAGGGUGCGUAGGUGGGCUGGUAAGUCAGUGGUGAAAUCUCCGGGCUUAACCCGGAAACUGCCAUUGAUACUACUGGUCUUGAAUGUCGUGGAGGUGAGCGGAAUAUGUCAUGUAGCGGUGAAAUGCUUAGAUAUGACAUAGAACACCAAUUGCGAAGGCAGCUCACUACACGAAUAUUGGCACUGAGGCACGAAAGCGUGGGGAUCAAACAGGA